AUUUGGGGUUUUUUGCUUUGGGGUUGUCGACGAAAAGAAUGCUGUGAGCAUCAAACAUGUUUGUUAAUUUUCAGAUUCUUUUCAUGGGUUGUCUUGGUCCAUGGACGAGAGAUCGUUGAAAGAUGCGUUUUCUUCCUUUGGGGAGGUUACUGAAGGUAAUCGUGCAUGUUGAGCUUAACCCUUUGAUUUACCAGUUGUAGUCUACGUGUUCGACGAAAUGUCUAGUUGAUUUCAGACCUCAGUUCAUCACGUGUGCUUCUGGGUCGAAACAUUUUGCUUCCUUGACUUUCAUAAUUCCAAGAAACAAAGAAAGAAAACCCCCUCCAAAAUGGCUGCUGCACAUCAGUUCCCUAAGACCUCCAUGUACCUUGAUCAAAACCCCGAAGCCGCCCUCAAGAACUUCGACGACGAUGGUCGAGAGAAACGAACGGGGACAUCAGUGAUAUGUUAGUUUGGAGCUUAGUGCGCAUAUAAUAAUAGCAGUGAUAGGGUCGGGGGUUCUAUCGUUGGCGUGGGCGAUAGCGCAGCUCGGUUGGGUGGCUGGACCGGCUGUGUUGGUGGCCUUCUCUAUGAUUACAUAUUUAACAGCAACUCUUUUGGCUGACUGUUAUAGAUCUCCAGAUCCUGUUACUGGGAAAAGAAACUACACCUAUAUGGAUGUUGUCAAGGCUCACUUGGGUUGAAGUUACGAUUGUUGAUGUUUCUACCAGUCAUCAGAUUGGGAUCGACAGUUGGGGGGAAGGCAAUGGAAUCUCUGGUCAAAGAGGGAUUUAUACAGGGAGUCUUGGACAUCACCACCACAGAGGUCGCAGACUACUUAAUUGGAGGUGUCAUGACUUGAAGUGGAUAUUUUUAUGGUUCUCUUCCCUUGAACAAUAUUUUAAAUCUCUAUGUUUCUCUCAUCUCACAGGGUUCUCCUUUUUGCAAACUUGUUCGUGAAGUGCUUGUAGAGUUGGAGUUACCACAUUUAGUACGUUGGGAGUUAUCACUAAACAAAUGACUGCAAUAGAAGAAAUGGUUGCAAGUGAGUACAAUUAGCCAGACCCUCAUCUUUGUGACAAGAUCUUGAAGUUGGUCAUUUGUGAAGCGUUCUACUUUGCUAUUAGUUGCAGUUUUAGUUAUUGCUCUCUUAAUAUAUUCUUUUUCUUUC